AGUGUAUUACAUUCCUGUUUAGUGAUGUCCAGUGUAUUACAUUCCUGUUUAGUGAUGUUCGGUUUUGGUUUCUUGUCAUUCCUGAGAACAGAGUAAGUUUCAUGUCGAAACUGUUCAGCCACUGGUAUCGGGAGACGUUUUUACAAUAUACAGUUGCCGUCUAUUCUAGUUUAUCCAACAUGAAUCUCUGCCAAUACAAUCUAUCCAAUACGUUUUCUAAUAUAUGUAACAUUUUAUAACUCAUUAAGUUUUAUUUUAGAGUUUAAUUUCUGAACAAAAUCCGCUGACUACCAAGACCAAUGGAUUUUCCAUUAAAAAGGCCUAUUACAAGGGAUCAGUCGUCGCUCUGAAGUCCAUUACCAAGUCCAGAAUAGAGCUUCACCGACCACUUCUGUUGGAGUUAAAAAGGAUGAAAGACUUACAACACAACCACGUUGUUCGUUUUAUCGGGGCAUGCGUUGAUCCUCCACGUGGCUGCUUGCUUGUAGAAUACUGCCAAAGAGGAAGCUUGGAGGCUAUCUUAAUGCAUGAUGA